rfam:Stegodyphus mimosarum contig23177, whole genome shotgun sequence.
GGCUUGAAGAAGGAUGUAUACUCAAUUUUAUUCAUGUAAACACGGGCACAAAAUAAACUAACAUAUUGUCAAGCUUAGAUCAGAUGAGAUGACACACUGAGUUUAAGUACAUAAAUAAGUGGAGGAAAAGAAACCAACAGGGAUUCUCUUAGUAGCGGUGAGCGAGCCGGGAUGAGCCCAGUGCUGAAUUCCGCACUUUUUGAGUGUUGGAAAAUGUGGCGUAUAGGAGUGAACGUUCCGGAGUUUGACUCUGCAGGAAAUCUCCCUGAUCGGGACUGUUACCCAGAGCGGAUGCGAGGCCCAUAGCUGCUAGGUCUGCUUCGGAUGCGAUCUCCUGGGUGUCGGAAUCGGGUGGUAAACUCCACCUAAGGCUAUAUACUGCUGUGAGACUGACUGAUCGCAAAUAAGUACCGCGAGG